GACGAACGCUGGCGGCGUGCCUAAUACAUGCAAGUCGAACGCAGUGGGGACGGGUGAGUAACACGUGGGUAACCUCCCAUCACAGGGGAUAACACUUGGAAUCAGGUGCUAAACCGAUAGUGUUGGCUGGACCAGCGGUGCAUUAGCUAGUUGGUGAGGUAACGGCUCACCAAGGCCACGAUGCAUCGCCGGACUGAGAGGGUGAUCGGCCACACUGGGACUGAGACACGGCCCAGACUCCUACGGGAGGCAGCAGUGGGGAAUCUUGGGCAAUGGACGAAAGUCUGACCGAGCAACGCCGCGUGAAUGAAGAAGGUUUUCGGGUUGUAAAACACUGUUGGUAGGGAGGCGGUAUCUAACGAAAAAGCAACGGCUAACUACGUGCCAGCAGCCGCGGUAAUUC
rnacentral:rRNA from 1 species